UAGGGCUCUGGUCUAAAGUAGUGCACUAUAUAGGGAAUAGGGUUCUAUAGGGCUCUGGUCUAAAGUAGUGCACUAUAUAGGGAAUAGGGUUCUAUAGCGCUCUGGUCUAAAGUAGUGCACUAUAUAUAGGGAAUAGGGUUCUAUAGGGCUCUGGUCUAAAGUAGUGCACUAUAUAGCCCAGUGUGACCCAACUCCGGUCCUCCAGCACUCCCAACAUCAACACAUUGUUAUUGUAGCCCAGGACAAAAAUCACCUGAUUCUACUUGUCAAGUGGCUUGAUGAUUAGUUGACAAGUAGAAUCAGGUGUGCUUGUCCGGGGGCCACAAUAAAAAGAUGUAAUGGCGGGGAUACUGGAGGACCGCAGUUGAGAACCACUGAUUAUAGAAUGCCAUUUGGGACGCACACGUGUAAAAGACGAAAAGCUGCAAAAAAAAUCUAUGUAAAGUAUGUAAAUGGCUGAGGUCCUUGUUGUUGCUUAGGCAACGCUUGGCCAGAGAGCAUGUUGUUGAAACAUUCACUGCUAGCCAGCCAGUUACAGUGCCUUCGGAAUGUAUUCAGACCUCUUUACUUUUUCCACAUUUUGUUACAUUACAGCCUUAUUCUAAAAUUGAUUUUUUUUUUAAAACACAUCCACAGCAAUCUACACACAAUACUCCAUAAUGACAUCACAAUACUCCAUAAUGACAUCACAAUACCCCAUAAUGACAUUACAAUGUCAUCACAAUACUCCAUAAUGACAUCACAAUACCCCAUAAUGACAUCACAAUGCCCCAUAAUGACAUCACAAUACCACAUAAUGGCAACGCGAAAACAGGUUUAAAAAUGUUUUUGCAAGUAUUUACCUAAGUAUUCAGACCCUCGAAGUUGCUCAACAACCGGGAGACUAUUCAGGAUUGAGGGAAAGAUGAACGGAGAAAAGUAUAGAGAGAUCAUUGGUGAAACCUUCUCCAGAGCGCUCAAGACCUCAGACUGGGGAAAAGGUUCACCUUCCAACACAACGCAGGAGUGGCUUCGGGACAAGUCUCAAUGUCCUUGAGUGACCCAUCCAGAGCCCGGACUUGAACCCGAUCGAACAUCUCUGGAGAGACCUGAAAAUAGCUGUGCAGCAACGCUCCCCAUCCAACCUGACAGAGCUUGAGAGACUCUGCAGAGAACAAUGGGAGAAAAUCCCCAAAUACAGGUGUGCUAAGCUUGUAGCGUCAUACCCAAGAAGACUCGAGGCUGUGAUCGCUGCCAAAGGUGCUUCAACAAAGUACUGAGUAAAGGGUCUGAAUACUUAUGUAAAUGUGAUAUUUCAGUUUUUUAAUUUUGUAUAAAUUAGCAAACAUUUCAACAACAAAAAACUUGUUUUUGCUUUGUCAUUAUGGGGUAUUGUGUGUAGAUUGAUGAGGGGGAUGGAAAAAAACAAUUUAAUACAUUUUUGAAUAAAUCUGUAACGUAAAACAAAAUGUAAAAAGAAAGUCAAGGUUUUCUGAAAACUUUCCCGAAUGCAAUUUAUAACAGUAGGAUGAUUUGCUUGAAUUUUGGCUAUUGUUGUAAAAAAAGAGUCCUAAUCAAACUAAAGCUUCACAUUCAUUUGUAAAUAAAAUAGAUACAUAGAAAUGCGUUUUAUCACGAUGAAAAAGGGCACCACUACUAUAUUAUGUCCAUCAUUUCUAGUUAAUAAAAUCUAUGUUCCAUUUGAGAGAGAGAGAGAGAGAAAAAAAAAUUUGAAAGCUCUAAAAAAAACAGAUCUAUAAUUGUGAAGAUAAUGGGCAAGCUGUUGUGUGUUGGAAUUUCUGGCUCAUCGAUGUAUUUGUAAAAGUAAUUCUGUCCGUUUGGUCUUUGGUUUGCUGCUGUGUACUUGAUUUUUUUAUUUUUAUAAUAAUUAAUUAUAAUAAUUAUAAUAAUAGGUCUCUGAUGUGUGCUUUGAAAGAGAACAAUCGCAUUGGUUUUAUUGACAAGAACGAAACAGAAGAGUGGUGGCAUGAAAUAUUUGCCCGGUUGCAGACAUUUCUGUGAUGUCAUCCGAUUCUAUAGGCGUUGUGCUCAGAACCUUUUUUAAGCGGAAACACUGGAAAGACAUGUCAAUGAGGAAAGGAAAGACAUGUCAAUGAGGAAAGGAAAGACAUGUCUGUGAGGAAAGGAAAGACAUGUCAAUGAGGAAACAUGUCUAUGAGGAAAGGAAAGACAUGUCAAUGAGGAAAGGAAAGACAUGUCUGUGAGGAAAGGAAAGACAUGUCUAUGAGGAAAGGAAAGACAUGUCAGUGAGGAAAGGAAAGACAUGUCUAUGAGGAAAGGAAAGACAUGUCAGUGAGGAAACAUGUCUAUGAGGAAAGGAAAGACAUGUCAAUGAGGAAAGGAAAGACAUGUCUGUGAGGAAAGGAAAGACAUGUCAAUGAGGAAAGGAAAGACAUGUCUGUGAGGAAAGGAAAGACAUGUCAAUGAGGAAACAUGUCUAUGAGGAAAGGAAAGACAUGUCAAUGAGGAAAGGAAAGACAUGUCUGUGAGGAAAGGAAAGACAUGUCUAUGAGGAAAGGAAAGACAUGUCAGUGAGGAAAGGAAAGACAUGUCAAUGAGGAAAGGAAAGACAUGUCUAUGAGGAAAGGAAAGACAUGUCUAUGAGGAAAGGAAAGACAUGUCUGUGAGGAAAGGAAAGACAUGUCAGUGAGGAAAGGAAAGACAUGUCUAUGAGGAAAGGAAAGAUGUCUAUGAGGAAAGGAAAGACAUGUCUAUGAGGAAAGGAAAGACAUGUCUAUGAGGAAAGGAAAGACGUCUAUGAGGAAAGGAAAGACAUGUCUAUGAGGAAAGGAAAGACAUGUCAAUGAGGAAAGGAAAGACAUGUCUAUGAGGAAAGGAAAGAUGUCUAUGAGGAAAGGAAAGACACGUCUAUGAGGAAAGGAAAGACAUGUCUAUGAGGAAAGGAAAGACGUCUAUGAGGAAAGGAAAGACAUGUCUAUGAGGAAAGGAAAGACAUGUCUGUGAGGAAAGGAAAGACAUGUCUAUGAGGAAAGGAAAGACAUGUCUGUGAGGAAAGGAAAGACAUGUCUAUGAGGAAAGGAAAGACGUCUAUGAGGAAAGGAAAGACAUGUCUAUGAGGAAAGGAAAGACAUGUCAAUGAGGAAAGGAAAGACAUGUCUAUGAGGAAAGGAAAGACAUGUCUGUGAGGAAAGGAAAGACAUGUCUGUGAGGAAAGGAAAGACAUGUCUAUGAGGAAAGGAAAGACGUCUAUGAGGAAAGGAAAGACAUGUCUAUGAGGAAAGGAAAGACAUGUCAAUGAGGAAAGGAAAGACAUGUCUAUGAGGAAAGGAAAGACGUCUAUGAGGAAAGGAAAGACAUGUCUAUGAGGAAAGGAAAGACAUGUCAAUGAGGAAAGGAAAGACAUGUCUAUGAGGAAAGGAAAGAUGUCUAUGAGGAAAGGAAAGACAUGUCUAUGAGGAAAGGAAAGACGUCUAUGAGGAAAGGAAAGACAUGUCUAUGAGGAAAGGAAAGACAUGUCUGUGAGGAAAGGAAAGACAUGUCUGUGAGGAAAGGAAAGACAUGUCUAUGAGGAAAGGAAAGACAUGUCUGUGAGGAAAGGAAAGACAUGUCUGUGAGGAAAGGAAAGACAUGUCUAUGAGGAAAGGAAAGACAUGUCUAUGAGGAAAGGAAAGACAUGUCUAUGAGGAAAGGAAAGACAUGUCAAUGAGGAAAGGAAAGACAUGUCUGUGAGGAAAGGAAAGACAUGUCUAUGAGGAAAGAUGUCUAUGAGGAAAGGAAAGACAUGUCUAUGAGGAAAGGAAAGACAUGUCUGUGAGGAAAGAUGUCGAUGAGGUUCCCUGUUUUCAACAGACAAACUUUGUAGGUUCUCUUUUAUUUCACUACAUGUUUAUGAUAUGAAACAUAGCUUUGUCACAUAAACCUUAUAAUGGACAAAUGUAACGAUGGAAUGACGAACGAAGGCCCGUAGCAACAACAACAACAAAAACAGAAAAUACACAAAAAUAUUUUUCAUGAUCUAAGGUAAGAAAGAAAGUAAACAUUUUAAGAAUUGUCAUGUAAAAAAAUGACUCUACUAUAAAAUUGUCUUGUAGCAAAUAUGUGCAUUAAUAAUAAUAAUAAUAAUCUCAGUGAGAUUUAAUCAUUCUCAUCCACGAGAAUAUCAUCUAAGUUUUGAGGGAAAAUGUCCUCAAUGUCCUUAAAACCCUUUUAAAAACCGACAUGCUUCGUUAUGCUGAUGAAUGACUGUAAUGCGUAGGCGUACAUGUGUUGAUCAUUUUACUACUUCGUAUUCUUAAGUGCUUACUGAAAUGGCACCCUGUUCUCUCUAUAGUGCACUACUUUUGACCAGACCAGAUCAGUAGUAGUGCACUAUACAGGGAAUAGGGUGCCAUUUCGGACGCACGUUCAGUAAGGUAACCACUGUCUGUUAUGGUAAGGGCGGCUUCUGUGUACCUGACUGGCAGUGCUACUGUAGUUAAUUACAGUAAAGUUGGGCAGGUUCUGUGUACCUGACUGGCAGUGCUACUGUAGUUAAUUACAGUAAAGUUGGGCAGGUUCUGUGUACCUGACUGGCAGUGCUACUGUAGUUAAUUACAGUAAAUUGGGCAGGUUCUGUGUACCUGACUGGCAGUGCUACUGUAGUUAAUUACAGUAAGUUGGGCAGGUUCUGUGUACCUGACUGGCAGUGCUACUGUAGUUAAUUACAGUAAAGUUGGGCAGGUUCUGUGUACCUGACUGGCAGUGCUACUGUAGUUAAUUACAGUAAAGUUGGGCAGGUUCUGUGUACCUGACUGGCAAUGCUACUGUAGUUAACUUAAUUAAAGUAAGUUACAUUACUUUACAUUGUGGGCUGUUUACUUAAUAUAAGUUAAGAUAAUUCUCUGUGUUUCAUUAAUGACUGACUGUUAUUUUUGCAUACUUUUUUUUUAAAUUUUGCAUUUGUAAAGAAAGAAGUUGUUAACAAAAAUGUAUUGAUUUUUGGCAUUAUACGAUAAGGCACUGAUAUUUGAAUUGAAUCUUUGAAUGAAGUACACGAGUUCCAACUCUAGAAUUAGAAUGAAUUGUUUUCGAUUCUAAGGUUCCAUCUAGCAGUGACUCGUUGUGAGUUCCGACUGACCCUGAGCCAAUACCAACUCAGUUUGACUCUUAUCUAUCCAGUUCAUUCCUACAAGUAGAAGAAGCUCCCUCCCUCUGUUGUUGUCUGGUGUACUGUGUCAUAUGUACAGUAGCUUGUUAAUAUGGCAAAACAAAAGCGUUUAAUGUUUCUUUUUCAAUGGAAAGUGCUCACUGCUGAGAAUUUUUAAAGUGGUUUUAAAAGCCAAUAAACUUUUUUUAUAGAAUGUUGCUCUUCAUCGUGUUUGCUUCAUUUUUUAAAAUGGCAACGUUUGUAACGGGCGUCGUAUAGAGGGGACCAAGGCGCAGCGUGUUGAGUGCUCAUAUUGUAUUUUAAUGGGAAUCGAACACUUAAGACAAAUAAACAAAAAAAAACGACAGCCAACAGUCCUGUCAGGUUACACAAACGAAACAGAAAACAAAUACCCACG
rnacentral:lncRNA from 1 species